rnacentral:misc_RNA from 1 species
AAAGAACAUAAUGGUAGGAACUGUUUUAAUAAUCACAAAAUUUAUAAAAAGCAAGCAAUAACUCCUGACAACACAUCUAAUCUGUGCUCACAGAACAAUCUUAAAAGUAUUCAUGACUUGUAAAUUUUGAAGAAAAGCAAGCAAUAACUCCUAACAACACAUCUAAUCUGUGCACACAGAACAAUCUUAAAAGUGUUCAUGACUUGUAAAAUUUGAAGAAAGCAAG